ACUCAAAUGAAUAGACGGGGGCCCGCACAAGCGGUGGAGCAUGUGGUUUAAUUCGAUGCAACGCGAAGAACCUUACCAGGUCUUGACAUCCAACGAACCUUUACGAAAGUAGGGGGUGCCUUCGGGAGCGUUGAGACAGGUGGUGCAUGGUUGUCGUCAGCUCGUGUCGUGAGAUGUUGGGUUAAGUCCCGCAACGAGCGCAACCCUUGCUAUUAGUUGCUAACAUUUAAGGUGAGCACUCUAAUGGGACUGCCUGUGACAAGCAGGAGGAAGGUGGGGACGACGUCAAAUCAUCAUGCCCUUUAUGAUCUGGGCUACACACGUGCUACAAUGGAUGGUACAGAGAGCAGCGAGACCGCGAGGUGGAGCGAAUCUCAAAAAGCCAUUCUCAGUUCGGAUUGCAGUCUGCAACUCGACUGCAUGAAGUCGGAAUCGCUAGUAAUCGCGAAUCAGCAUGUCGCGGUGAAUGCGUUCCCGGGCCUUGUACACACCGCCCGU
rnacentral:rRNA from 1 species